rnacentral:rRNA from 1 species
CACGUAGGGCGCAAGCGUUGUCCGGAAUUAUUGGGCGUAAAGAGCUCGUAGGCGGUCUGUUGCGUCUGCUGUGAAAACCCGGGGCUUAACCCCUGGCUUGCAGUGGAUACGGACAGACUAGAGGUAGGUAGGGGAGAAUGGAAUUCCCGGUGUAGCGGUGAAAUGCGCAGAUAUCGGGAGGAACACCGGUGGCGAAGGCGGUUCUCUGGGCCUUACCUGACGCUGAGGAGCGAAAGCGUGGGGAGCGAACAGGAUUGAGAAACCCCGUGGUAGUC